rnacentral:rRNA from 1 species
GACGAACGCUGGCGGCGUGCCUAAUACAUGCAAGUUGAGCGCUGAAGGUUGGUACUUGUACCAACUGGAUGAGCAGCGCACGGGUGAGUAACGCGUGGGGAAUCUGCCUUUGAGCGGGGGACAACAUUUGGAAACGAAUGCUAAUACCGCAUAAAAACUUUAAACACAAGUUUUAAGUUUGAAAGAUGCAAUUGCAUCACUCAAAGAUGAUCCCGCGUUGUAUUAGCUAGUUGGUGAGGUAAAGGCUCAUCAAGGCGAUGAUACAUAGCCGACCUGAGAGGGUGAUCGGCCACAUUGGGACUGAGACACGGCCCAAACUGCUACGGGAGGCAGCAGUAGGGAAUCUUCGGCAAUGGACGAAAGUCUGACCGAGCAACGCCGCGUGAGUAAAGAAGGUUUUCGGAUCGUAAAACUCUGUUGGUAGAGAAGAACGUUGGUGAGAGUGGAAAGCUCAUCAAGUGACGGUAACUACCCAGAAAGGGACGGCUAACUACGUG